rnacentral:rRNA from 1 species
CCUACGGGAGGCAGCAGUGAGGAAUAUUGGUCAAUGGACGAGAGUCUGAACCAGCCAAGUAGCGUGAAGGAUGACUGCCCUAUGGGUUGUAAACUUCUUUUAUAAAGGAAUAAAACGAGGCACGUGUGCCUUUUUGCAUGUACUUUAUGAAUAAGGAUCGGCUAACUCCGUGCCAGCAGCCGCGGUAAUACGGAGGAUCCGAGCGUUAUCCGGAUUUAUUGGGUUUAAAGGGAGCGUAGAUGGGGUGUUAAGUCAGUUGUGAAAGUUUGGGGCUCAACCGUAAAAUUGCAGUUGAUACUGGCAGGCUGGAGAUGUCGAGAGGCAGGCGGAAUGCGCGGUGUAGCGGUGAAAUGCGUAGAUAUUGCGCAGAACUCCGAUUGCGAAGGCAGCAUGCCGGCGGCGAUCUGACGCUGAGGCACGAAAGCGUGGGUAGCGAACAGGAUUAGAUACCCCGGUAGUC